GAUGAACGCUGACCGAAUGCUUAACACAUCAGCCAUUGCUUGGUGGCGGACGGGUGAGUAACGCGUAAAGAACUUGCCUCACAGGUAGGAACAACAUUUGGAAACGAAUGCUAAUACCUAAUCCUGUGAGAGAGCUUUGCGUCCCAUUAGCUAGUUGGAGAGGUAACGGCUCACCAAGGAGAUGAUGGGUAGCCGGCCUGAGAGGGUGAUCGGCCACAAGGGGACUGGGACACGGCCGUUAAUCCGACGAGAGGCAGAAGUGGGGAAUAUUGGACAAUGGACCAAAAUCUGAUCCAGCAAUUCGGUGUGUACGAUGAAGUUUUCGGAAUGUAAAGUGCUUUCAGUUGAGAAGCGUUACCAACAGAAGAAGGGACGGCUAAAUACGUGCCAGCAGCCGCGGUAAUAC
rnacentral:rRNA from 1 species